rnacentral:tRNA from 1 species
CCUGGUAGUUCAGAUGGUAAAGAAUCUGCCUGCAACGCAGGAGACCUGGGUUCUAUUCCUGUGUCAGGA